rnacentral:lncRNA from 1 species
CUGCUUGCGAUGUUUCCCGUUGGCCACUAAAUGAAAGAACCGAGUGUUAGCAUCCCCUUCCAGUAGGGUUUUAACAUUGGCUCUCUGGUACCAUUUCAGUUCCUCCUCUCUCAGAAGGUUGACCAAACGCUCUUUUAGAUAAUGCUUCAGAUUGAUCUCUUGAUCAGAUAAAGGAGAGAUCUCAGCUUUCUUAUCAAUUUUCUCUAAAAGGGCUAACAAAGUGUUUUUUUUUUUCUUUGCGAUAUGACCCUGCUGUGUGUUUCGCCCAACCCCUUAGAUACUGACGGAGUCUACGAAUUUUAAACUGCCACCGUUCAAGGGGAGUUGACCCAGAGCAUGGAGAUUGCCAAAUAUUUGCAACCAUAUCAUAAAAUUCAUCUCUUAUCAACCAUCCUUUCUCAAAUUUGAAAGGGCGAUUGUGGGUCUGGUGGGUUGAAGCACCCGUAUUAAGAACCAGGGGAGUAUGGUCUGAAAUAUUACCAUCCCUUAGUUCUAUUGUGGUUAGAGGAAACAUUAUUUCCCACUCUGUGCUAACUAGGACUCUAUCUAACUUUUCAAAAGUUGGAUUAUCCCCUAGACCAGUCCAUGU